CCUACGGGAGGCAGCAGUGGGGAAUAUUGGUCAAUGGGCGCAAGCCUGACCCAGCAACGUCGCGUGAAGGAAGAAGGCUCUCGGGUUGGAAACUUCUUUUCUCAGGGACGAAGAAAGUGACGGUACCGGAGUAAUAAGCCACGGCUAACUACGUGCCAGCAGCCGCGGUAAUACGUAGGUCGCAAGCGUUAUCCGGAUUUAUUGGGUGUAAAGGGCGUGUAGGCGGGAGCGCAAGUCAGAUGUGAAAACUCAGGGCUCAAACCUGAUCCUGGAUUUGAAACUGUGUUUCUUGAGUGCUGGAGAGGCAGUCGGAAUUCGGGGUGUAGCGGUGAAAUGCGUAGAUAUACGGAAGAACACCAGUGGCGAAGGCAGAUUGCUGGACAGUAACUGACGCUGAGGCGCGAAAGCGUGGGGAGCAAACAGGAUUAGAUACCCGAGUAGUC
rnacentral:rRNA from 1 species